rnacentral:rRNA from 1 species
AGCCGGCUACCAUGCAGUCGAGGGGCAGCAUUUUAGUUUGCUUGCAAACUAAAGAUGGCGACCGGCNCUUUGGGGAGUAACACGCUAUCCAACCUGCCGAUAACUCGGGGAUNNCCUUUCGAAAGAAAGAUUAAUAUCCGAUAGUAUAUUAAAACCGCAUGGUUUUACUAUUAAAGAAUUUCGGUUAUCGAUGGGGAUGCGUUCCAUUAGUUUGUUGGCGGGGUAACGGCCCACCAAGACUACGAUGGAUAGGGGUUCUGAGAGGAAGGUCCCCCACAUUGGAACUGAGACACGGUCCAAACUCAUACGGGAGGCAGCAGUGAGGAAUAUUGGUCAAUGGACGAGAGUCUGAACCAGCCAAGUAGCGUGAAGGAUGACUGCCCUAUGGGUUGUAAACUUCUUUUAUAUGGGAAUAAAGUAUUCCACGUGUGGGAUUUUUGUAUGUACCAUUAUGAAUAAGGAUCGGCUAACUCCGUGCCAGCAGCCGCGGUAAUACGGAGGAUCCGAGCGUUAUCCGGAUUUAUUGGGUUUAAAGGGAGCGUAGGUGGAUUGUUAAGUCAGUUGUGAAAGUUUGCGGCUCAACCGUAAAAUUGCAGUUGAAACUGGCAGUCUUGAGUACAGUAGAGGUGGGCGGAAUUCGUGGUGUAGCGGUGAAAUGCUUAGAUAUCACGAAGAACUCCGAUUGCGAAGGCAGCUCACUAGACUGCAACUGACACUGAUGCUCGAAAGUGUGGGUAUCAAACAGGAUUAGAUACCCUGGUAGUCCACACAGUAAACGAUGAAUACUCGCUGUUUGCGAUAUACAGUAAGCGGCCAAGCGAAAGCAUUAAGUAUUCCACCUGGGGAGUACGCCGGCAACGGUGAAACUCAAAGGAAUUGACGGGGGCCCGCACAAGCGGAGGAACAUGUGGUUUAAUUCGAUGAUACGCGAGGAACCUUACCCGGGCUUAAAUUGCAUUUGAAUAAUCUGGAAACAGGUUAGCCGCAAAGGCAAAUGUGAAGGGGCUGCAUGGUUGUCGUCAGCUCGUGCCGUGAGGUGUCGGCUUAAGUGCCAUAACGAGCGCAACCCUUAUCUUUAGUUACUAACAGGUCAUGCUGAGGACUCUAGAGAGACUGCCGUCGUAAGAUGUGAGGAAGGUGGGGAUGACGUCAAAUCAGCACGGCCCUUACGUCCGGGGCUACACACGUGUUACAAUGGGGGGUACAGAAGGCAGCUACCUGGCGACAGGAUGCUAAUCCCAAAAACCUCUCUCAGUUCGGAUCGAAGUCUGCAACCCGACUUCGUGAAGCUGGAUUCGCUAGUAAUCGCGCAUCANACCAUGGCGCGGUGAAUACGUUCCCGGGCCUUGUACCCNNNAACCGUCAAGCCAUGAAAGCCGGGGGUACCUGAAGUACGUACCGCAAGGAGCUCCUAGGAAAC